rnacentral:rRNA from 1 species
AUUGAACGCUGGCGGCAGGCCUAACACAUGCAAGUCGAGCGCGAAAGGCCUUCGGGCUGAGUAGAGCGGCGGACGGGUGAGUAACGCGUAGGAAUCUACUUGGUAGUGGGGGACAACUUGGGGAAACUCAAGCUAAUACCGCAUACGCCCUCAGGGGGAAAGCGGGGGAACUUCGGGCCUCGCGCUAUCAGAUGAGCGUGCGUAGGAUUAGCUAGUUGGUGAGGUAAAGGCUCACCAAGGCGACGAUCCUUAGCUGGUCUGAGAGGAUGAUCAGCCACACUGGGACUGAGACACGGCCCAGACUCCUACGGGAGGCAGCAGUGGGGAAUAUUGCGCAAUGGGGGCAACCCUGACGCAGCCAUGCCGCGUGUGUGAAGAAGGCCUUCGGGUUGUAAAGCACUUUCAAUGGGGAAGAAAAGCGUAGCGUUAAUAGCGUUGCGCCGUGACGUUACCCAUAGAAGAAGCACCGGCUAACUCCGUGCCAGCAGCCGCAGUAACAC